UGUGAGUACAUACUGCAUUCUGUUCUUUAAAUUGUAGGUCCUUUCUUAUACUCAUCUGAUAUUUGAUCCUAACUUUACAACACAUUUUAACCAAUUCAGUAUAAGUUAUCACUCACUACUCAUCUUUUCCUUUUAUUAAUUCAAAGCAUAUUUUUUAUUU